ensembl:lncRNA LINC02255 long intergenic non-protein coding RNA 2255
GAGAGACAGGGAAAGUCCCUCAAGAUGAUGAGCUUGCGACAUGGGGGAGGGGAGAGGGACUCCUUCUGGUGAUGCAGAAGGCCUCCGUCUACACAGCAGAGACUGAGAGCCCCUCCUGUCCCAGGGGUGCUGAGAGGUCUGUCUCUGGCUCCCCCACCGCUCCCAUGUCUCUGCUGGGACUGGACCUGUGCCUCCUGGG